CCGCCAUGGACGGCGGUUGUUCCAUUCUUGCGAUGUUUUGCCGUGAGGCAAAACUCGAAACUCAAAAUCGGACACGGAUGUACAUUCUCCAAC
rnacentral:sRNA from 1 species